CCCCAGGCACACUCGUUGGGGCCUGGGGCUGCGAGGCCGCUGCCUCCCCAGCAGGUUAUAUGAAGAAGGGAUCGCUGUGUAGAAAUGUGAUUAGAGGCCUGGUACGGUGGGUCACACUUGUAAUCCCAACACUUUGGGAAGCCAAGGCAGGAGGACCGCCUGAGCCCAGGAGUUUGAGACCAGCCUGGGCAACAGAUGGAGACCCCAUUUCUACACACACACACACACACACACACACACACACACACACACACACAAAUUAGCUGGGUAUUGUGAUCCUAUAGUCCUAGCUACUUGGGAGGCUGAGGUGGGAGAGUUGCUUGAGCCCAGGAGUUCAAGGUUACAGUGAGCAAUGAUUGCACCACUGCACUCCAGCCUGGGCGACAGAGAGAGACCCUGUGUCUUAAAAAGAAAAAGAAAUGGGAUUGGACAAAAAGGGAAUGAUAAUAGUCUAAUGGUAAUAGACUGAAUGGGGAAACCCAGCAAGGCCUGUCUGUUCAUAUUCUUCUUGGCCUCCCUGUGUAGCAUUCCUUCUGGUAUUAGGGCAGGACCCUUCUGGAAUGAGGGUCUUCAAGGGAGAAGGCAGAAAAUAACCUUUCUAGGUUUUACGACUUGCUUGGAGGAAGGAGAAUUCUAGUUUCUAUGACCUGCGUUGGGAAAGAGGAAUUCUGGUUUCCAUGACUCACUGCGAAGAGUGGUGAUGUUACAGUGGGUAGCUAGUCAGACACGAACAGGGCAGGAUAGGGCCCCCACGCUCCACCAGGAAUGUCAGAAGAUCAUCAGGUGAUGGUCAGACAGUGGUCACACCGCCUCUCUAAAAUAAUAAUUGCUCAUAGCCAGCGCCAGGGAAAGGCAGUUUCCCUAUAGAUAGAAAAACCCUGAAACUGAUGAUCAGGAGCUUCCUGAUGAGAUCUCAGGAGUUGGGCGAGCGGGCUCACGCAUGCACACUAAGAGGCAAAAUGGUGGAAUUUAACUGAUAUAUGACCUUCUGGGGGCAUUCUACUGAAAAAGGGAAGAACGCCUCAGGUGAGCAUGCUUACAACUUCAAUAAAUACACUGCACUUGCUCCCCUCCCCAGCGCUAGCAGGCUACUGUGCAUUUCGACAACCCACCCCAAGGGAAGAAUCAGGGUAGAAGGGAUGCAAGACCCCAGAAGUAUGCCAACACAUAAAAACCCAAGUCAAAAGGUCAAACCUUGCACUUGUCCUUCAAGUCACCCACUUGGGCCUCUUCUCAGUGUACUUUCCUUCCUUUCGUUCUUGCUCUAAAGCUUUUUAAGAAAUUUUCACUCCUGCUUUAAAACUUGCCUCAGUCUCUUCUUUUGCCUUAUGCCCCUCAGUCGACAUCUUCUGAGGAGACAAGAAUCGAGGUUGCUGCAAUUUGCUGCCAGUAACUGUAAUAACUUCUACUGCUUACAGUGGAAAACAGGACAGGAGAAGUUCAGAAAGACCUUGCUUCUGAGGCCUUUCCAAUUUUCUUCAGUUCAAAGUACUCAGCAUUCCAAAGUACCAUACUUUGGGGUAUCAUGUAAUGAGCCCCAACCCUGAAUUAGCACAGAGACACUCCACUAUAGCAGAAUAAGAGUCUUGGCCCAGAAUUAAAAUCUGCAGAAGAGGAUAUGAGUUGCUGAAAAUUGAACCAGAGCAGCCAUUAGGGCCUCAGUCCUGGGUUCUUUUCAGAUUACAUUUAUGGACACUCUCACUCAUGGAAAGCUCCACACAAAAUUCAUAAAAGCAUGACCAGAUUCUUGUGUCACAGUGCACAAGAACACCUCACAAGAGCUAUACUCCAGCAAUCGCAAAGUAGCUAAGUACUAAAUUGACCUAAAUUCUGAAUUAACAUAAGACAGUUGACAAUGGUGGGGGUGUUACUGGACCCCACCACUUACCCAAAGUUAGCCUUUGGGUCAGGGGUUUCCUUGCUAGAGUCCUUUCGUGGUCACCAGAAAAAUGUUACAGGAAAGGGGUUCUGAUCCAGACCCCAAGCGAGAGUUCUUGAAUCUCACACAAGAAAGAAUUCAGGGCAAGUCCAUAAAGUAAAGUGAAAGCAAGUUUAUUAGGAAAGUAAAGGAAUAAAAGAAUGGUUGCUCCAUUGGCUGGGCAGCCCUGAGGGCUGCUGGUUGCCCAUUUUUGUGGUUAUUUCUUGAUUAUCUGCUAAACAAGGGGUGGAUUAUUCAUGUCUCCCCUUUUAAGACCAUAUAGGAUAACUUCCUGAUGUUGCCCUGGCAUUUGUAAACUGUCAUGGUGCUUGUGGGAGUGUAGCAGUGAGGACGACCAGAGGUCACUCUCCUGGCCAUCUUGGUUUUGGUGGUAAGUUUUAGCUGGCUUCUUUACUGCAAACUGUUUUAUCAGCAAGGUCUUUAUGACCUGUAUUUCGUGCCAACCUCCUAUCUCAUCCGCUGACUUAGAAUGCCCUAACCAUCUUGGAAUGCAGCCCAGUAGGUCUCAGCCUCAUUUUGCCCAGCUCCUAUUCAAGAUGGAGUUGCUCUGGUUCACACACCUUUAACGGGCAGGAGGAGUUAAGAGUUCUUGAAAGGGCUGAGUCAACUUGGCUUUCAGAGGAUUCUCAUUUCAACCCCCUUUUCUUCCCAAUUUUGUCUCAUUCAUAUGUUCCCUGCCUUUCCUCCUUUUCUCCUUUUUUGUUCCCCUUCGUGUUCUUUUUUUUUUCUUUUCUUUUCUUUUCCUCAUCACUUGAAUGUCUCACCACUUGGUGCAGUCCUUCUCUCCCUGGUUUGACUAUGACUAACCAAGAGUUUAUGGAGACCAGACAGGACUUCCUGACUAUAAGUAUUGAACAGCACUAAGGUGUGUUAGAAAGGGAAAUCACGUUUCACAGUUUUUGAGUUUCAGUGGAAAAAAGGCAGAAGAAACAGGAAGACGAAGGUUGAAAAGCUCAAAAAGCCACACACGCACACACGGUUCGCAUUCCAGUCCAAAUAGAAUGAAGGCUAAAAAUAUCUUUAAAAGGCUACGUGAUGAAAAUUAAUGCAAAAAAAACAUGAUGUGUGUUAAGUGAAGUUUGGCCUAAAGCUGUCUCUUUACAUAGUUUAAGUUUGGCCUAAAGGUUUCUUCAUAUGUAGAGAAAUGCAAGGUAACUUGAUGUGAAAACGGUCACUUACUCUUGUAAGAAAUAGCCAAGUUUCAGCCAAUUACAGGCAGCCAGCUGCUCAAACCAGGUUCAAACCAGGUUCAAAUAAGGCAAACAUCAAGCUGUAACCGUUCCAGCUAUUUCUGUACCUCACUUCCAUUUUCUGGACAUCAUUUUCCUUGUUAUCCUACCAUGCGGCAGGCCUAAAAUCACACUGAAUCUAUUCUGGUUCUGGGGGCUGCCUGAUUCGAGAAUCAUUUUUUGCUCAGUUAAACUCUGUAAAAUUUAACUUGUCUAAAGUUUUCUUUUAACUUGUGAAGUAUUUUAUCUAAUAAGCUAAAGAUUAAAGACAGCUUGCCAUCUACCAUACUGGAGUAAGUGUCCUAUCCAGGAGAUAAGUUAGUGGAGGAACCAGUAUCACUUCAUUUCUGAAUUUUUUUAAAAAAAAAUCAUAUAUGUGUUGUAUGUACACGUGUGUAUUGUUAAAAGAUAAA
rnacentral:lncRNA from 10 species